rnacentral:rRNA from 1 species
AGGAACAACGCUGGCGGCGUGCCUAAUGCAUGCAAGUCGAACGGGAGCCUCUUCGGAGGUCGACCGUGGCGGACGGGUGAGGAACACGUGGGUAACCCAUCCGAGCGCGGGGGAUAACGGCGGGAAACCGUCGGUAAUAUCCCAUGAGCUUGGUUUCCGAUGGGGAGAUCAAGCAAAGGUGGAGACACCGUGCUUGGCGGGGCCUGCGGCCUAUCAGCUAGUUGGGGGGGUAUGGCCCACCAAGGCGAUGACGGGUAGCUGGUCUGAGAGGACGAUCAGCCACACGGGGACUGAGACACGGCCCCGACUCCUACGGGAGGCAGCAGCAAGGAAUUUUCCGCAAUGGGCGCAAGCCUGACGGAGCGACGCCGCGUGGAGGAAGACACUUUUCGGAGCGUAAACUCCUUUCUGGGGAUGAAGAAGUGACAGUACCCAGGAAGAAGGACCGCUAACUACGCGCCAGCAGCCGC